AUCAGGAUGGCCGAGCGGUCUAAGGCGCUGCGUUCAGGUCGCAGUCCAGUACUCUGGGUGAGGGUUCGAAUCCGUCUUCUGACA
rfam:Daphnia pulex DAPPTscaffold_2741_Cont14405, whole genome shotgun sequence.